rnacentral:lncRNA from 1 species
AUUUCAAACCAGCUUUCUCUUUUGAAAAAGUAUUGCCAUCAACCAGAGUAGAAACCCUUUCUAUAUCUAACCUAAAGAGUUAAAUGAAGAAAAAAAAUGCCUGAAAGGACAAAUCGUAUGCAGUCUUCUCUGAUGAAGAUAUGCUGGGGGCUCCUAGGAGGCUGAUAGGGACUUAUUCCAUUUCUACUGGAAGGCUCUCAUUUCUUAGAGGCUGAAGGCCAGCACACUGGGGUUUUUUGUUGUUGUUUUGUUUUUAACUGGAGGGGUGCAAAAUCUGACCAUUAAAGAGAUCAUUUCCUGGCGUAAAUCUGGGUAACUUAUAGUCCAUGGCUGCUGCUCUGUCUCUUGAAUGGUCUGCAUGGGGUCUACUGGGAAAUAAGAUCUUACGCAAGGUCUCAUAGUGUAACAUUCUUUAUCUGCAGCAAAGCAGAAAGAGGUGUCUGUCUCCCCGGAGAUGGAUAGGGAGGUUGUUCCUCACUGAGUGGCAGCGCACAGAAUGAACAAACCCCUCCUCUUCUCAGUACCAUUAGCUACAUACCCCCCAAAUUUGGCACUUGCUGAUGAGAAACCUGGUCUGUGGAGUAGUCUUCUCCCUUGUAUUGGAAGCUCCACUGUGGUCUGGUCCUAUGAGGUGAGUGCUCUGCUGGGGGUGCUCCCUCUAGGGUCUCACAGACCUCUGUUAGGUGGCCACGGUGGAUG